rnacentral:ncRNA from 1 species
GAUUGGUGGUGCAGGUAGAGAGAACAGUUGUUUUUAUUUCUUUUCACUCUCACUUACAAAAUGUCCCUAUCUACUAUCUAGCGAAACCACAGCCAAGGGAACGGGCUUGGAAAAAUCAGCGGGGAAAGAAGACCCUGUUGAGCUGAC